GACCGCGUAGCUCAGUUGGCAGAGCAUUGGGCUGUAUCCAAAGGUCGUAGGUUCGAUUCCCACCGUGGCCA